rnacentral:misc_RNA from 1 species
ACCCAAACAAAAAAAAACAACCCUGCAAAACAAGAAAGGUUUAUUAACUGGAAAAUGCAGCUUAACAAUUAAUCAUUGAGCCAAAGUUAGUAAUGGAGAAACUAAAGCUUAUCAACCCAAAAUGAAUAUUUUUUUUCGGACUCGCAUAUCUAGUGAACAUAAAAUUUGCAUUCAGGCCAUGAGAAGCGACUUGUCAACACCUAAAUCAAGAACAAAGAUCGAGGCACAAAUAUUGCUUAUAUUCCAACAAAUCCUUGAACACAUUUUUAUGCAAACUUUUCUUCCUUUUUACUAAUCCAUUAAUUUAUCUCUAUCAAAUCAAAAGUUGCAAAUAUUAGCGCUUCAUUUCACCAGUCAGUGAACUUUGGCUCCUAUAACAACACCAUUCUUAAACUUUAAUUUGUAUCUUAAAACCCCCCUAACUUCAAUUUAGUUCACAUAAAAAUACUCUUACCAGAGACCAGUGUUAUCAAGGCGAAA